rnacentral:rRNA from 1 species
GACGAACGCUGGCGGCGUGCUUAACACAUGCAAGUCGAACGGAAAGGCCCUGCUUUUGUGGGGUGCUCGAGUGGCGAACGGGUGAGUAACACGUGAGUAACCUGCCCUUGACUUUGGGAUAACUUCAGGAAACUGGGGCUAAUACCGGAUAGGAGCUCCUGCUGCAUGGUGGGGGUUGGAAAGUUUCGGCGGUUGGGGAUGGACUCGCGGCUUAUCAGCUUGUUGGUGGGGUAGUGGCUUACCAAGGCUUUGACGGGUAGCCGGCCUGAGAGGGUGACCGGCCACAUUGGGACUGAGAUACGGCCCAGACUCCUGCGGGAGGCAGCAGUGGGGAAUAUUGCACAAUGGGCGGAAGCCUGAUGCAGCAACGCCGCGUGCGGGAUGACGGCCUUCGGGUUGUAAACCGCUUUCGCCUGUGACGAAGCGUGAGUGACGGUAAUGGGUAAAGAAGCACCGGCUAACUACGUG